rnacentral:lncRNA from 1 species
GGGCCACCAAGAAUGAGCCCAGGAGAUUGGGCUGUGGCUAGAAUGUCACCUUAGCCCUGGCCCACCCCUCUGGGCAAGCUCCCACCAUGUGAGUGCUGGAGCCAGGCUGUCCCACACUGGCUUCCAGAAGGUGGAAUUCACAGGCUGGUGACAUUUCAGAAAUUCCCCAAGAGGAAGUCACAGGAGUGAGCUGCACAGCAUGGGGAGGAGACAGCAGGACUAAGGAGUUGGACAGUUUCAGGAGGAAUUCUUAAUAUCGAGCAAUGUUGCAUUUGUGAGGGGGAGCCCUCCUCACCCCACCCUGGGUCGUCUCCAGGUGCAGAACAGAGCAUGGAAGGCCUCACUUGACACUGCAGUAGCCCACAGCCUGGUGCUUGAUUGUGCUUCACAAAUGGGGAAACAGAGGCUCAGGUGGCUUUCUGGGGUACUGAUCACAGCAGAGAAACACUACAGCCUGGCAUGGAGCCUCUGGAUAUGGGCCCUGGGUGAGGGAGGGCUAAAACCCACCAGCAUCCGGGUGAGUGGUGUGUGCAUGAUGGAGCCUGGGGCCUGAGGUACUAGGGAGCCACUGAAGACUUGGAGGAGGGGGUGCAUCCCCCUCCAAAGCAGAACUAUAGAUAACUGGAGCAUGAGCUGGGGGCCAGGCAGCCUGGAGCCAAAGGCGGGGCUCAGAGGGAAACCCUGCUUUGGGGUGAGGUGUCCAGCUGGAACAGGGUGAUAGCCUGAGCCCCAACAGGUGGGCGGCACCAAAAGGAACUGCUAUGAGCUCAGCUCCGUCAGAGACUCCAGAUCCAAAAUUCGUCACUUGCCAGCUCAUGGCCCUGCCCAUCUAUUGUGGCCCCAAGACCCCAGGGGCUCCUGACCUCCCACCCACUCUGAUCCAGCCCUUGGGCUUCUGCCGCUGUUGUGGCGCACCAAGCAUGCGCGCAGCCUUUGCACCACUGUGCCUCUGCCUGAGACAAGUGCCCCGCAUCUUUACAGUCCUGGCUGCUGCUCAGAUCCAGGGCACAGCUCCAGCAUCCCCUCAGGGAGGCCCUGCUGACUACAGUCACCACCACCACCAUUAACAGCCUGGGAAACGCGGUCAAGAAAGGUGGGAGAAGGUUCUAGGAAAGUGAUGAUGGCUUCGUCUUCCCCCUUCCUGACACAGCCCCCCCCCCACCAGGCCCAGAGACUGCCCCAGCCAGAGACCAGCAGGUGAGGCCCUAACACAGCCCUCCUCCUGGGUCCCCUCCUCACCCCUUCCUGCAUGGAGUCACCUGCCCAAGACAGGUCCUGGGCAUAGGGGGAAGGGGGCACAGGCAGCAGUGGGGACUUGCCUAAAUGCAC